rnacentral:rRNA from 1 species
UGGGGAAUAUUGCACAAUGGGGGAAACCCUGAUGCAGCGACGCCGCGUGAAGGAAGAAGUAUCUCGGUAUGUAAACUUCUAUCAGACAGGGAAGAUAGUGACGGUACCUGACUAAGAAGCCCCGGCUAACUACGUGCCAGCAGCCGCGGUAAUACGUAGGUGGCAAGCGUUGUCCGGAUUUACUGGGUGUAAAGGGCGUGCAGCCGGGUCUGCAAGUCAGAUGUGAAAUCCGUGGGCUUAACCCACGAACUGCAUUUGAAACUGUAGAUCUUGAGUAUCGGAGAGGUAAUCGGAAAUUCCUGUG